rnacentral:lncRNA from 1 species
ACCCUGGGUGCUGUCCCUUAGCACAGGCUCCUGGUUGAUUCGAAAGUCUUCUCUCUGCGAGGUAGGUCUGGUGGUUUCAUCCCGCAGAGUGCAUCUGUAGAGGAGAGGCUUGAGAAAAAGGAAGAGCAGGACAAUGGCCUGGAUUUCUGGAGGCCUGCUUUAAAGCUGCUCACUUCUGUAAGGAAGGGAAGGAGGAAUAGACUGGCCCAAAUCUCUGGAGGUUGGUAUGAAGGACAGCAAUGCAGGGGAUAGUGGCAGAGUAAGAUCAAUAGCAGGUGUCUUUGAUCCACUUGGGUGUGUUUGAUCCACCUCUCCUACCCUCUGCCAUAUUUGCACACUGUCACAGCAUCUUUUCCUUAUUUCCUGUAGGAGGUAUUAGGCAUAUUAGUGUAGUUACGGAUUGGGCCAUGAAUGGGAGGAGACAACCAGAAAGCAGGGACCAUUAGAUAGGAAAAAAUUAGACAAAUUAAACAGAUGUUUACAUCAGGGGUCCGUGUGUCAGACUGUCAACGAGGCACUCAGACUUCAUUGUCUCCUGUAUGUUUACUUCUCCGUAGGACUGCCUGCUCUCUGAUGUAGAGCUUAAUACCACUGAAACAAAGCAAGGAGGGGGAAAUUGCA